rnacentral:tRNA from 1 species
GCCCGCAUCGUCUAGUGGCCUAGGACGCUGGGUUCUCAGCCCAGUAACCGGGGUUCAAAUCCCCGUGCGGGUA